GAUGAACGCUGGCGGCGUGCCUAAUACAUGCCAGUCGAGCGAACAGACGAGGAGCUUGCUCCUCUGACGUUAGCGGCGGACGGGUGAGUAACACGUGGAUAACCUACCUAUAAGACUGGGAUAACUUCGGGAAACCGGAGCUAAUACCGGAUAAUAUGUUGAAUCGCAUGGUUCAACAGUGAAAUACGGUCUUGCUGUCACUUAUAGAUGGAUCCGCGCCGCAUUAGCUAGUUGGUAAGGUAACGGCUUACCAAGGCAACGAUGCGUAGCCGACCUGAGAGGGUGAUCGGCCACACUGGAACUGAGACACGGUCCAGACUCCUACGGGAGGCAGCAGUAGGGAAUCUUCCGCAAUGGGCGAAAGCCUGACGGAGCAACGCCGCGUGAGUGAAGAAGGUCUUCGGAUCGUAAAACUCUGUUAUUAGGGAAGAACAAAUGUGUAAGUAACUAUGCACGUCUUGACGGUACCUAAUCAGAAAGCCACGGCUAACUACGUG
rnacentral:rRNA from 1 species